AUUGCUUCUUGGCCUUUUGGCUAAGAUCAAGUGUAGUAUCAGUUGAAGUCUUGGCAUGUCCUCUCUUCAGGGACUCUCU
rnacentral:snRNA from 1 species